rnacentral:piRNA from 1 species
UGAGAAGAGUCCAGAGACAAGGAGAUGGU